AAGUCGUAACAAGGUUUCCGUAGGUGAACCUGCGGAAGGAUCAUUAAUGAAUUUAAUUGACGGGGUUGUCGCUGGCCUUUCUGGCAAUGUGCACGCCUUGCUCAAAUUAAUCCAUCUCAUACCUCUGUGCACUCUUCAUAGACUGGCUUAAUUUAAAGGGUUGUUGCUUCGGUGAUGAUCUGGGUCUUUCUGUGCAUUUAAUACCAACUUCAUUGUCUUUGAAUGUCUCUAUUGCGAAUUUAUAACGCAUUAUAAACAACUUUCAGCAACGGAUCUCUUGGCUCUC
rnacentral:misc_RNA from 1 species